AAAGGACUCUAUAUGCAGUCAUUAAAUGCAAUUCCUAUCGCACUCAUAACUCAUAGAGAAGUUGGUAACUGAGCCGAGAAGAAUACACCCAGGAGACCUGACCCCCUGCACUCUUUCUUAACCUGCAAAUUACAUUUUCCUUAAAAACAAAUAAAUGACCAUAGAAAUCCCUCAGAAGCUUUAGUUACAGAAAGAACAGCAAGUAACACACCCUUAGUGACAUCACAAAACCCCAUACUUUGGCUGGAACUGUUGAACAACUGUUCAAGUGCAUGUGGGGAAGUAAAACUGUAUCCAUGUGGCUGUGGGAAGUCAUGGCAUGCCCAGCCUAUUACUUGCUUCAGUAGCUGGGUGCAACUAAAUCAGCAUUCAUAAAAACAACAAGCUGGCUGAGAAACAAGGAUACUUGAAUUCCUACUUCUUGGAACCUAUGCAGGAACUUCUGUCAACCUACUACAAGAUCCACUUACCCCCAGCUGAGAUAACCUUGCAGGCUGGGGCUUCACGGUCAACAGCACAACCAGGUGGAGUGCAAAGCAAGAACCAAAUGCUGGCAAACGCCAAGGAGGAAUAAAACUUGCACUCAACGGAUUGUUUAUCCUCACAGGCAUCUUUUUUAUUGUUGUUGUUAUUUUUUCUCUAAAGGAAGGGCAUUAUUUGAAAGUCCUUUCUAUUUGUCUCUUGUGAGUUUUCCCAGACCAACACACCA
rnacentral:lncRNA from 1 species